rnacentral:rRNA from 1 species
UACGUAGGGUGCGAGCGUUGUCCGGAAUUAUUGGGCGUAAAGGGCUCGUAGGCGGUUUGUCGCGUCGGGAGUGAAAACCUUGGGCUUAACUCAGGGCUUGCUUUCGAUACGGGCAGACUAGAGGUAGGUAGGGGAGAACGGAAUUCCUGGUGUAGCGGUGGAAUGCGCAGAUAUCAGGAGGAACACCGGUGGCGAAGGCGGUUCUCUGGGCCUUACCUGACGCUGAGGAGCGAAAGCGUGGGGAGCGAACAGG